GAUGAAGAACGUAGCGAAAUGCGAUACGUAAUGUGAAUUGCAGAAUUCAGUGAAUCAUCGAAUCUUUGAACGCACAUUGCGCUUUCUGGUAUUCCGGAGAGCAUGCUUGUUUGAGUAUCAGUAAACACCUCAACUCCUUUAUUGUAGUUGGACUUGAGCUAUCCCAACAGGACUUUUUGUUCCUGGCGGGAGGCUUGAAAUGCAGGUGCAGCUGGACUUUCUUCUGAGCUAUAAGCAUAUUUAUUUAAUCCCUUAACACGGAUUAUUACUUUUUUGCUGCAGCUAACAUAAAGGUUGAAUUUCCAUUGAGCUCACUGAUGCAGGAAUUUGGCAAGGAAUUUUUUUAAUGACUUGUUAAACUCGAUCUCAAAUCAAGUAAGACUACCCGCUGAACUUAAGCAUAUCAAUAAGCGGAGGA
rnacentral:misc_RNA from 1 species